UACGUAGGGUGCGAGCGUUGUCCGGAAUUAUUGGGCGUAAAGAGCUUGUAGGCGGUUUGUCGCGUCUGCCGUGAAAAUUCGAGGCUCAACCUCGAACUUGCGGUGGGUACGGGCAGACUAGAGUGUGGUAGGGGAGACUGGAAUUCCUGGUGUAGCGGUGGAAUGCGCAGAUAUCAGGAGGAACACCGGUGGCGAAGGCGGGUCUCUGGGCCGUUACUGACGCUGAGGAGCGAAAGCGUGGGGAGCGAACAGG
rnacentral:rRNA from 1 species